ACUCCUAUGCAGUGGGCAUGAUAGUUCGCGUUGAAUUGUCUGCGUGAGAGAAACAAAUGGAUGUACCCGUGAUUGUCUUGGGGUACUAGAAUGUUAGUUUGGCCAGUCGUGAAAAGCAAGUCUUGAUAUACAAUGGACAGAGCACAAUCAUCAUGAGGACAACGAGAGAGGAAGGAGAAACUGAA